rnacentral:lncRNA from 1 species
AUAGUAGUAGAUGCAGGCAUGAGUCGGUCUACUAAUCUUGGACGUGAUGCCUAUAUAAUGAUCAUUGCUUGGAUAUCGUCAUAAUUAUUUGAAGUUAUAUUAAUUGACCAACGCUAAUUUGUUUACCCACUAUUUUCCAUCUUUCUCGAGAGAAGCCACUAGUGAAACCUACGGCCCCCGGGUCUUCUUUCUCAUAUAUUUGCCUUUGUGAUCUACUUUUCUCUUGCAUUUGUUUUCAGAUCUAUUAAACCAAAAAUAAAAAAUACCUUGCUGCAAUUUUUCUUUCUUUAUUUUAUUUAGCAUUCUAUCUAUCAAUUUACUACAAAUUUAUCUCACGUCCGUUUGCCACUUGAGGCGCCAUACCCCGAAAGGGAUUGACAACCCCUUUAACACGUCGGGUUGCGAGGAUUUGUUAUCUGUGUGCAGGGGUUGCGAGUGGUUGUUAUUUGUGUGCAGGGGCUGAUAAUGUUGUGUUGCUUGGGUCUCCUACUGGUUUGAUAACCUUGGUAUCAUAUCUGAGGGAAAUACCUACCGCCGUUGUGCCGCAUCAUCCCUUCCUCUUUGGGGAAAUACCAACGUAGCUUCAAGCCACAUCAAAAGGAAUUUCUGGCGUCGUUGCCGGGGAGGAUCUUCAACAUAUACCAGGUUGCUAAUGACAAAUCUCAUCUCCUCGCAAUUUACAUUAUUUUCCAUUUGCCUCUCAUUUUCCUCUCCCCCACUCCACAAAAAUUUGCUGUUUUAUUCGCCUCCUGUCUUCGUUUGCCAUUUUCUCGCCAUGUCUGAUCUUAGAAGAGCUAAGGGUUUUCUCCGAGUCUUAAUACUUUGGAUAGCCCCUCUGUCCUCUCUAAGCUCAUAAACAAUGAUGCUAUGGAAGGAUCUACCGGGGUGGUUAAGGAAAAUCUUAACCAAUGUGAUGAAGAUGAUUCUGGAAUUUUUCAUUAUUUACUUGAUGAAUCUUUGAAAGAUUCUUGGGAUAGGUUGUUGAGAAUUCGAGCUAGCUAUGUGCCCCAAUAUCAAAUAGAGAUAUACUUGAGAAGUUCUUAUGUUGGUUCACCUUCUUCCUUCAAGCAAGUUUCAGACUCCAUAUUGAAAACGGUUUUCUUGAAGGGGAUGCCAUUGAGACUUAUGAGAAGAUGAAAACCAUAUUUGCGCACCCAAAGGAAAAUUGUUGAAUCAACUACUCUCAUGUGCUUUUAUCAAAACAAAAAAAUUAAGAGAUGAAGGCUAGUUUACAUACGAAUUUUCGCAACAUAUCUUCCGCUAUCAAUGGCCAUGUGCUUCCAUAGAAUAGAAAAUUAAAUGACAUUGAUAGGAAAUUUUCCCUUUUCUUUCCAAAGAAGAAGGAUGACGAAACUUAGAUCCUUGCUUUAUUCCUAGCUAAGGGCGUCCAACUAUAGCGCUUGUUGGGAGUCAACCCAAUGAAUAAAUUUUAUUUUUGCUUUUGUUUUCUGUUCUUGAGUAUUAGCACAAUUAUGCUACUAUUAUGAUUGUGUUUUUUGUGUUUUAAUUAGUGUUUGUGCCAAGUAAAGCCUUUAGGAUCUUCUUGGAUGAUAGUUGUUUGAUCUUGCUGAAAAAACAGAAACUUUUACGCUCACGGAAUUAAUUUUCAUUUUUACGAGAGAGUGAUAAAAUACCCAUUCCACCUGCAGUAGAUCAAUAUACAAAUUUCUCAGGUCAUCCUAAUAUUUCAGAAUUUUUGGAGUAAUAAAAGUAUUCGGAAUUGUCAGAUGGUAUAGACUGUUCUGUUUUGACAGAUUCUGUUUUUUUUUGUGUUGUGUGCUUAUUUUGAUGGCUCUAUGGUUUUCUUUGAUGAGUUUCUGCCAUAGAAAAGUUGGAAUAUAGUAGAUAUAAUACAAAAAAAACAUGAAUUGGUUUGAUACAGUACUUAUAGUAGUGGUUUUCUUUCUUAUACUAACGGAUCUCACGAAAGUUUUGUUGAGUUUUGUGUGAUUGAAGUUUUCAAGUUUUGGGUUAUCUUACAAUGGAUGAAGGAAGGAUGGAAGAGCCUAAGCUUGGGGAUGCCCCGGCAUCCCAAGCUAUUAUCCAAAAAUGAGCAACCAACUAAGCAUGGGGAUGCCCCCGAGUGGCAUCCCUGCUUUCUUCCAACGACUAUCGGUAUUUUACACGAAGCUAUAUUUUAUUCGUCACAUGAUAUGUGUUUUGCUUGGAGCGUCUUGUAUGAUAUGAGUCUUUUCUUGUUUUAUUUUGUGUUUUAUGUCAUAAAUCCUUGCUGGACACACCUAUUUGAGAGAGCCAAAAUUAUUUCAUGACUUGUUAGAAUUGCUCUCUAUGCUUCACUUAAAUUUUUAUGAGCAAUGGACUUGAUCUAGUGCUUCACUUAUAUCUUUUUGAGCUUGGCAUGCUUUAGUAUUUUUGAAUAAAUGCUCUAUUGCUUUACUUAGAUUUAUUUGAGAGUUAGUAAAAUUUUCAAGAAAUUCUCUCUUGCUUCACUUAAAUUAACUUGAGAAAAUGAAAAUUUUAUUAUGCUCAUGAUCUUCACUUAUAUUUGUUGGAGCUUGUCAAAAGCAACACAUGAAAAUUAGUCCCAAAGUGAUAGAUAUCCAAGAAUGAUAUAAUAAAAAAAUUCAUGAAUAUCAUUGGACAAAAUAAACUUGAUUCUUAGUAAUAGUUUUGAGAUAUGAUGAUGUGAUAUGUGAGUUAUGUUGGCGAGUAAUUAUGCUUUAGUAAGAAUAUUGGUGUUAAGGUUUGUGAUUCGCUAUGCAAGUAUGAAAGUCAAUAGUCAUGAAAUGAAAUUACAUCCUACUUGUGGUGCAUUAUUCAGUGUUAUUUAUGCUUAAUGCUUGCUUAUGAGAUUAUAUGUUUCUUAGUUGGUCCCUUCCCAAUCUUUUGCUAGCCUUCAUUUUGCACUGAGUAUGAUCACUACUUGUGCAUCCAAAAAUCCUUAAAUCAGUUUUGCCACAUGAGUCCACUAUAUCUACCUAUAUGCGGUAUUAUUUUGCCAUUCUAAGAAAAUUUGCAUGUGACAUCUCUAAUUUUCAAAAUAAACUUCUCUGCUGUGUGUUUGUUUCGCUCGCGGAGUGGUGAGGGGUGGCUAAUAUUUUCCAUGCUAGAUGUGUUAUUCUCACGGUGAGUGUUUAUUCACUUGUCAUUGCACGAGAGUAAGGCCAAGGUAUUAGGGAUGCCCAGUCCUGAAUUGAAAAAAUGAGUUUACUUUAUGUUGUCAAAUGAUAAAUUCUUUCAUAAGUGUUGGUAUGGAGGGCAACCAUGGAUACAGCUAGCCAUGGAAAGUAAAAGUAUGUUGGAAAAAGGAAUAAACUUUAUUUUCUAUUUGGGAACCGCCUAUGAUAUACCUAAGCAUGGAAAGUAUUGUGAACUCUAAGUCGCUUUCAUUGGUGGCGUGGAUACACCUCCCAAAAUGUUUUUAUAUCUAAGUUUUUCGCUUCGAGCUCUGGCACCUCUACAAAUCCCUACUUCCCUCUGCGAAGGGCCUUUCUUUUACUUUAUGCAAUUUUUAUUUUUAGUUUGAGUCUCCAUCUUCUCUUAUAAAAGCACCGACUAGGAGGCAAUAUGAUAAUACUUAAGUAUUGGGUGUAGCUAAUAUUCGAGUGUGUUUCAUGAAUGGAUCAAUGUUUGAGCAUGAUGGGCUAGGGAUAACAUAUUUUAGCGUUGAUAUUUUGAAAGACAUGGUUGCUUGUUGAUAUGCUUGAGUAUCUAAAUUAUCAUGUCAAAACUAGACUAUUCCUUUGAACAACUAAAAUUCCAAAUGUCUAUGAUAUAAAGAAAAGAAUAUGAUAUGACAUGAUAUGAAGUAUUCCACAUAAAUUUUUUUGUUUUUAUCACUUACCUACUUGAGGACAAGUAGGAGUUAAUCUUGGGGAUGCUGAUACGUCUCCAAUGUAUCUAUAAUUUUUGAUUGUUCCAUGCUAUUAUAUUAUCAAUCUUGGAUGUUUAUAAUCAUUUUAUAUCAUUUUUUGGUACUAACCUAUUGACAUAGUGCCAAGUGCCAGUUGCUUAUUUUUUUCAUGUUUUUUACAUCGCGGAAAAUCAAUAUCAUACGAAGUCGAAAUGCCCUGAAACUAUACGGAGAAUUUUUAUGGGCCAGAAGGAACACAACAGGCCCUGGCUGCGCCUGGGGGUGCCCCGAGGGGGGCACAGCCCACCAGGGCGCGCCAGGAGGCCUAGGCACGCCCUGGUGGGUUGUUCCCACCUCGGGUGCCCCCCGGAGCGCUUCUUUGCUCUAUGAAUACCCCAAUAUUCCAGAAACAUUAUGGGGGGUGACGAAAUAUUCAUCCAGCCGCCGCAGAGUCCAGAACCGCCAGAUCCAAUCUAGACACCAUCUCAGAUGGGGUUCACGACCUCCAUUGGUGCCUCCACGAUGAUGUGUGAGUAGUUCUUUGUAGACCUUCGGGUCCGUAGUUAGUAGCUAGAUGGCUUCAUCUCUCUCUCUUGAUUCUCAAUACAAUGGUCUCUUGGAGAUCCAUAUGAUGUAACUCUUUUUGCGGUGUGUUUGUUGGGAUCUGAUGAACUUCGAGUUUAUGAUCAGUUAUAUCUUUUUAUAUCCAUGAAAGUUAUUUGAGUUUCUUUGAUCUCUUAUAUGCAUGAUUGCUUAUAGCCUCGUAUUUCUUCUCUGAUAUUUGGGUUUUGUUUGGCCAACUUGAUCUAUUUAUCUUGCAAUGGGUGGAGGUGCUUUGUAGUGGGUUCGAUCUUAGGGUGCUUGAUGCCAGUGACAGAAAGGGAAACAACACGUAUGUAUCGUUGCUACUAAGAAUAAAACGAUGGGGUCUAUCUCUACAUAGAUAGAUCUUGUCUACAUCAUGUCAUCGUUCUUAUUGCAUUACUCCGUUUCUCCAUGAACUUAAUACACUACAUGCAUGUUGGAUAGCAGUCGAUGUGUGGAGUAAUAGUAAUAGAUGCAGGAAGGAGUCGGUCUACUAAUCUUGGACGUGAUGCCUAUAUAAUGAUCAUUGCCUAGAUAUCAUCAUAAUUAUUUGAGGUUCUAUCAAUUGCCCAACAGUAAUUUGUUUACCCACCAUUUGCCAUCUUUCUCGAGAGAAGCCACUAGUGAAACCUACGGCCCCCGGGUCUUCUUUCUCAUAUAUUU